rnacentral:hammerhead_ribozyme from 1 species
AUCCAGUUGACGAGUCCCAAAUAGGACGAAAUGCGCGUUAUUCUGGUU